CUCUCGGCAACGGAUAUCUCGGCUCUCGCAUCGAUGAAGAACGUAGCGAAAUGCGAUACUUGGUGUGAAUUGCAGAAUCCCGUGAACCAUCGAGUUUUUGAACGCAAGUUGCGCCCGAAGCCUUCUGGCCGAGGGCACGUCUGCCUGGGCGUCACGCA
rnacentral:rRNA from 1 species